UACGUAGGGUGCAAGCGUUGUCCGGAAUUAUUGGGCGUAAAGAGCUCGUAGGCGGUCUGUCGCGUCUGCUGUGAAAACACGGGGCUCAACCCCGUGCCUGCAUUCGAUACGGGCAGACUAGAGUUCGGUAGGGGAGACUGGAAUUCCUGGUGUAGCGGUGAAAUGCGCAGAUAUCAGGAGGAACACCGGUGGCGAAGGCGGGUCUCUGGGCCGAUACUGACGCUGAGGAGCGAAAGCGUGGGGAGCGAACAGG
rnacentral:rRNA from 1 species